GACGAACGCUGGCGGCGUGCUUAACACAUGCAAGUCGAACGAUGAAGCCCAGCUUGCUGGGUGGAUUAGUGGCGAACGGGUGAGUAACACGUGGGCAACCUGCCCCAAACUCUGGGAUAACUCCUCGAAAGAGGUGCUAAUACCGGAUACGAACUAGACAGACAUCUGUACUAGUUGGAAAGUUUUUCGGUUUGGGAUGGGCCCGCGGCCUAUCAGCUUGUUGGUGAGGUAACGGCUAACCAAGGCUACGACGGGUAACCGGCCUGAGAGGGCGACCGGUCACACUGGGACUGAGACACGGCCCAGACUCCUACGGGAGGCAGCAGUGGGGAAUAUUGCGCAAUGGGCGAAAGCCUGACGCAGCGACGCCGCGUGAGGGAUGAAGGUCUUCGGAUCGUAAACCUCCUUCAGUAGGGACGAAGCGAAAGUGACGGUACCUAAAGAAGAAGCACCGGCUAACUACGUGCCAGCCGCCGCGGUAA
rnacentral:rRNA from 1 species